rnacentral:rRNA from 1 species
AUUGAACGCUGGCGGCAUGCCUUACACAUGCAAGUCGAACGGUAACAGGUCUUCGGAUGCUGACGAGUGGCGAACGGGUGAGUAAUACAUCGGAACGUGCCCGAUCGUGGGGGAUAACGAAGCGAAAGCUUUGCUAAUACCGCAUAAGAUCUACGGAUGAAAGCAGGGGACCGCAAGGCCUUGCGCGAACGGAGCGGCCGAUGGCAGAUUAGGUAGUUGGUGGGAUAAAAGCUUACCAAGCCGACGAUCUGUAGCUGGUCUGAGGGGACGACCAGCCACACUGGGACUGAGACACGGCCCAGACUCCUACGGGAGGCAGCAGUGGGGAAUUUUGGACAAUGGGCGAAAGCCUGAUCCAGCCAUGCCGCGUGCAGGAUGAAGGCCUUCGGGUUGUAAACUGCUUUUGUACGGAACGAAAAGACUCUGGUUAAUAACUGGGGUACAUGACGGUACCGUAAGAAUAAGCACCGGCUAACUACGUG